rnacentral:rRNA from 1 species
UACGUAGGGUGCGAGCGUUAAUCGGAAUUACUGGGCGUAAAGACGUGCGCAGGCGGUGAUGUAAGACAGAUGUGAAAUCCCCGGGCUCAACCUGGGAACUGCAUUUGUGACUGCAUCGCUGGAGUGCGGCAGAGGGGGAUGGAAUUCCGCGUGUAGCAGUGAAAUGCGUAGAUAUGCGGAGGAACACCGAUGGCGAAGGCAAUCCCCUGGCCUGCACUGACGCUCAUGCACGAAGCGUGGGAGCAACAGGA